ACUGAGGCUAGAGUCUUGCUCGCAUUGCCCUGGUGUGCUGAAGUCCUCGGAGAGCAGCCCCUGGCCUUAUUCACUGGCUGUGGCCCCAUGGCCGAGCCAGUCACCAGGCCAAGGACAGGG
ensembl:snoRNA